rnacentral:sRNA from 1 species
GUAUCCCGGCGUGCAUCGGGGAGCGCCCAAGGGCGAUGGUUCCCGGCUCCUGGAGAGGCGUGCGAAGUUAAGCCGUCUUAUUGCCAGCAGUUUUGAAGAUGACUCCCGUGUAGCCUCACCAUUAGACCAGAACGGAAGCUUCAAUGUUGUUAUUAAAGAGGAACCUCUAGAUGAUUAUGACUACGAACUUGGUGAGUGCCCAGAAGGGGUCACUGUGAAACAGGAAGAGACAGAUGAAGAGACGGAUGUAUACUCAAACAGUGAUGAUGAUCCUAUACUAGAGAAACAGCUAAAGAGGCACAAUAAAGUUGACAACCCAGAAGCUGACCAUCUAUCUUCUAAAUGGCUUCCAAGCAGCCCAUCAGGUGUUGCUAAAGCUAAAAUGUUCAAAUUAGACACUGGAAAGAUGCCAGUAGUCUAUCUGGAGCCCUGUGCUGUCACCAGAAGCACAGUGAAGAUUUCUGAACUCCCUGAUAACAUGCUUUCCACAUCUCGAAAGGAUAAAUCUUCUAUGUUGGCAGAAUUGGAAUAUUUGCCUACAUACAUUGAAAAUUCCAAUGAGACUGCCUUCUGCUUAGGCAAGG